rnacentral:rRNA from 1 species
UACGUAGGCAGCAAGCGUUGUUCGGAGUUACUGGGCGUAAAGAGCGCGUAGGCGGCUCGUUAAGUGUGAAGUGAAAUCUCCAGGGCUCAACCCGGAAACUGCUUCGCAUACUGGCGAGCUGGAGUGACGAAGAGGUUUGUGGAAUUCCUGGUGUAGCGGUGAAAUGCGUUGAUAUCAGGAGGAACACCGAUGGCGAAGGCAGCAAACUGGUCGUCAACUGACGCUGAGGCGCGAAAGCGUGGGUAGCAAACAGG